rnacentral:rRNA from 1 species
UACGUAGGGUGCAAGCGUUGUCCGGAAUUAUUGGGCGUAAAGAGCUCGUAGGCGGCCAGAUAAGUCCGCUGUGAAAUCUCGAGGCUCAACUUCGAGCUGUCGGUGGAAACUGUCUGGCUAGAGUCCGGAAGAGGAGAAUGGAAUUCCUGGUGUAGCGGUGAAAUGCGCAGAUAUCAGGAAGAACACCAGCGGCGAAGGCGGCGCUCUGGGCCGGUACUGACGCUGAGGAGCGAAAGCGUGGGUAGCAAACAGG